rnacentral:rRNA from 1 species
GAUGAACGCUGGCGGCGUGCUUAACACAUGCAAGUCGAACGAUGAAGGGGGAGCUUGCUCCUCUGGAUUAGUGGCGAACGGGUGAGUAACACGUGAGCAAUCUGCCCCUGACUCUGGGAUAAGCGUUGGAAACGACGUCUAAUACCGGAUACGAGCCGAGCAGGCAUCUGCAUCGGUUGGAAAGAACUUCGGUCAGGGAUGAGCUCGCGGCCUAUCAGCUAGUUGGUGAGGUAAUGGCUCACCAAGGCGACGACGGGUAGCCGGCCUGAGAGGGUGACCAGCCACACUGGGACUGAGACACGGCCCAGACUCCUACGAGAGGCAGCAGUGGGGAAUAUUGCACAAUGGGCGCAAGCCUGAUGCAGCAACGCCGCGUGAGGGACGACGGCCUUCGGGUUGUAAACCUCUUUUAGCAGGGAAGAAGCGAGAGUGACGGUACCUGCAGAAAAAGCACCGGCUAACUACGUGCCAGCCGCCGCGGUAA